GGGCCCUUGCACCUGCUUGCUGGCACUUUAAUCCACUGAGCUUGAUGUGGACAUGGCCAUAAAAAAAAUUUUCCCACUAGGUUUGUGUCUGCUAUCUUGUUAGCAAUCAACCUGUUGGGAACAUUG
rnacentral:snoRNA from 1 species